GCGUUGUAUCGGAUUACUGGGCGUAAGCGUGCGCAGGCGGUUUUGUAAGUCUGUCGUGAAAGCCCCGGGCUUAACCUGGGAAUUGCGAUGGAGACUGCAAGGCUUGAAUCUGGCAGAGGGGGGUAGAAUUCCACGUGUAGCAGUGAAAUGCGUAGAGAUGUGGAGGAACACCGAUGGCGAAGGCAGCCCCCUGGGUCAAGAUUGACGCUCAUGCACGAAAGCGUGGGGAGCAAACAGGAUUAGAUACCCUGGUAGUCCACGCCCUAAACGAUGUCUACUAGUUGUCGGGUCUUAAUUGACUUGGUAACGCAGCUAACGCGUGAAGUAGACCGCCUGGGGAGUACGGUCGCAAGAUUAAAACUCAAAGGAAUUGACGGGGACCCGCACAAGCGGUGGAUGAUGUGGAUUAAUUCGAUGCAACGCGAAAAACCUUACCUACCCUUGACAUGUCAGGAACCUCCGAGAGAUUGGAGGGUGCCCGAAAGGGAGCCUGAACACAGGUGCUGCAUGGCUGUCGUCAGCUCGUGUCGUGAGAUGUUGGGUUAAGUCCCGCAACGAGCGCAACCCUUGUCAUUAGUUGCUACGAAAGGGCACUCUAAUGAGACUGCCGGUGACAAACCGGAGGAAGGUGGGGAUGACGUCAAGUCCUCAUGGCCCUUAUGGGUAGGGCUUCACACGUCAUACAAUGGUACAUACAGAGGGCCGCCAACCCGCGAGGGGGAGCUAAUCCCAGAAAGUGUAUCGUAGUCCGGAUCGCAGUCUGCAACUCGACUGCGUGAAGUUGGAAUCGCUAGUAAUCGCGGAUCAGCAUGUCGCGGUGAAUACGUUCCCGGGUCUUGUACACACCGCCCGUCACACCAUGGGAGCGGGUUUUACCAGAAGUAGGUAGCUUAACCGCAAGGAGGGCGCUUACCACGGUAGGAUUCGUGACUGGGGUG
rnacentral:rRNA from 1 species